GACGGGCACCCGCACAAGCCGGUGGAGCAUGCUGUUUAAUUCGAAGAUGCGCGAAGAACCUUGCCUAGACUUGACAUCCCUGGCAAAGACAUGGAAACAUGAUGGAGGUUACCCAGGUGACAGGUGGUGCAUGGUUGUCGUCAGCUCGUGUCGUGAGAUGUUCGGUUAAGUCCGCUAACGAGCGCAACCCUUGUCCUUAGUUGCUAACAUUAAGUUGAGAACCCUAAGGAUACUGCCGGUGAGAAGCCGGAGGAAGGUGGGGAUGACGUCAAAUCAUCAUGCCCCUUACGUCUAGGGCUACAGGCGUGCUAUAAUGGCCAAUAUAAAGAGAGGCAAAACCGUGAGGUGGAGCAAAUCUCCAAAAGAANGUCUCAGUUCGGAUUGAAGUCUGCAACUCGACUUCAUGAAUGCUAGAAUCGCUAGUAAUCCUGAAUCAGAAUGUCAGGGUGAAUACGUUCCCGGGUGUUGUACACACCGCCCGUCACGCCACGAAAGUCUGUAAUACCCGAAUGUGGUAGCCUAACCUUUUAGGAGGGGGCCAUUUAAGGUAGGACAGGGUUUGGGGUGAAAAAAGUAACAAGGGUGUCC
rnacentral:rRNA from 1 species